CAGGAAUGGAAGAAAAUGAACAAGUAUCAGAACAGCUAACGACAAGUAAUCAAGCGUAUCGAAAGAAAUAUAAAGACAGACAUACGUUUGUAUGCUCGGCAAGAUGGCGGACCGUAUACCUCGUGUACAUAGCCUACGCCCUUCUGUAUAUACACCGGGUCAAUCUCAGUCUAGCCGUGGUCUGCAUGGUGGACUUGGAUGUCGAGGAGGGCAAAAACACCAACACCAGUAAGGACAAUGUUGUGCCUGGAAAUCGUACAUCACUACUUAUAGAUGAUGGAUAUGAAACCAUUAACAAAUUCAUUAAUACUACAGAUGAAAGUCAUACUUCAUGGCCAGUUGACAUGGUUAAAUCUUCAAAAAACGAUACCAGAAGACAAAUUAAAACAGAAAAUGAUAACUUAACGACAGAUGCGACUACUAUGCCUCUGACAAAAAUCAGUUCGUGUAGCUCAGGAAACGUCAAAAGAAAAGGUCCAAAACCUAAUAUACAAUGGAGAAAGUCAAUUAUUUCGAUUUUGCUUUCUUCGUAUUUUUAUGGGUCACUAUUUACCCAGAUCCCAGCAGGAACCCUUGCAGACAUAUUCGGCGGAAAACAUAUUAUGACGGGGGCAAUGGUUUUAACGGCUGUUUGCUCUUUCCUUGUGCCUGUGUGCGCCAGAACAGGCAUUGAAUGGGUGUUUGUCAUACGCAUACUUAUCGGGUUA